AUACGGAAGGUCCGGGCGUUAUCCGGAUUUAUUGGGUUUAAAGGGAGCGCAGGCGGAGAUGCAAGCGUGACGUCAAAUUUCGGGGCUCAACCCCGUCUCGCGUCGCGAACUGCGUCCCUUGGUUGCGGGAAGGGGAGGCGGAACUCGUGGUGUAGCGGUGAAAUGCAUAGAUAUCACGAAGAACUCCGAUCGCGAAGGCAGCCUUCCGGCCCGUCAACGACGCUCAUGCUCGCAGGUGCGGGUAGCAAACAGGAUUAGAUUCCCUGGUAGUCCGCACAGUAAACGAUGGACACCCGCGGUUUGGCCUGUAUGGCUGAGCCGCCAAGCGAAAGCGUUAAGUGUCCCACCUGGGGAGUACGCCGGCAACGGUGAAACUUAAAGGAAUUGGCGGGG
rnacentral:rRNA from 1 species